UUGGGCAAAAUACCUGCUGUGGCAGCCCUGUGCCUUGACUGCCUCCAGGAGAAAGUUUCUUGGGAAUGGUUGCUGAAACAAGAAGUGUGUCCAGCCUCCAGGGCUUGCCAGCAGCUAUUGACUGAUACGAGCACACUGUCCUCGGUGGCAGGAGGGAGCAACUUGCUUUAUCUAUGCAUUCCCUGGCAAGCAGCAGCAGUGGAGAAAGAGACAUGUCUCACUGGCCAGUGUCCAGUCCCUGGCAAGCCAAAUCAUUCUACAAGCUCUGAAACUGAAGAUAAAAAAUCAGCAAUGGAACAUUGCUGCUUGAGUCAGAGGUGUGAAGGAAUCAGCUCUCCACUCCAUGAUCCAUCCUCCAGCUCACAGCUGGUACAAAUGGGUGUGACUCAUUGCACAGCCAGAGGUUAUAAUGAAGUAUCCCACUCAUCCUUUAGCUCACCCUUUGUUCGAGACAAUGUGGAUUGCGGAAGGUUUCUGAGGAGCCAAAAGUUGGUGAAGGCUCCUGAGUGUCCCCGUUUGCCAUGCAGAGGUUCAGAGUUAGCAAUGCAGGCUGGCUGCCUACGUGCUCUCAGCUAGAGACUUUUAAAGAGCAGCAGCAGGAGUAAAACUGGCCAUGAGGCUCCUGCUCAGCUGCUCUGUAGCUUCCCCCCACCCGGAGGGAGGACAGGCUAGGGGAGGUGACAACCUUCAGCAAAGGUUAAGACUGGAAAAGAAGGAAGUGUCAGCUCAAUCAGGUCAGCUCAGCCAACCAACUGCUGCUGUAAUCCCUCUGCCUCAGGUCCCUGUGCUGUUGUGCUCGUGCUCUGAAUGUUACUGUAUGAGCAGCAGCCUUGUCCCCACAGUACUGUCAGCCUGCAGCAUCCAGACAGGGAGAUGGGGAA
rnacentral:lncRNA from 1 species